GAAUAGGGGUGCUCAAGGGUGGUUAGCACAGAUUCGGUGGAAGGAGGGGAGCGUCUGUGACAGUCUUUGAAGCGUUGAUGUUUGCGUGUACUUUUGCAAGCUUAAUUAUAGUAACGCUGUCAUUUGAUAAAAAAAAAUAACCCACCCUUGAGCUCACAAACUAUGAGGGUGAGUUAAUUUUCUUCUUAUAGCGAUUGCCCUAGCAGGAAACCGUCUAUUGUAGGACCGUUUGGUGUUCUAGCACC
rnacentral:sRNA from 1 species